CUGUGGCUGGCCUCCUGAGGCAUGUGCACGCCCGUCUUGACUCUAUUCAUCCACCUGUGCACCUAUUGUAGUUUCUGAUGCUCUCUGUGUUCAGUUGAAACAUACUGGAUUUGAGGAUUGCCUUUUUCGGAGGGCUUUUCUCUUCUUGGCCUUGUGCUAUCUGAGAGAGAAUAAGAAGCUAUGUAUCUUAUCAUAAACCAUAUAGUAUGUUGUCAGAAUGUAUUCAAUGGGCCUCUGUGCCUAUAAAAAUCUAUACAACUUUCAGCAACGGAUCUCUUGGCUCUCGCAUCGAUGAAGAACGCAGCGAAAUGCGAUAAGUAAUGUGAAUUGCAGAAUUCAGUGAAUCAUCGAAUCUUUGAACGCACCUUGCGCUCCUUGGUAUUCCGAGGAGCAUGCCUGUUUGAGUGUCAGUAAAUUCUCAAACCCUACAGCUUUUGUUGUUGGGCUUGGAUGUGGAGGUGUUGCUGGUCUGUUAAAAGUUCAGCUCCUCUGAAAUGCAUUAGCGGAACCGUUUGCGAUCCGUCACAGGUGUGAUAAUUAUCUACGCCAGUGGGUUGCUCUCUGUAUUGUUCAGCUGCCAACUGUCUGUAAAAAGACAAACAUUACUGAAUAUUUGACCUCAAAUCAGGUAGGACUACCCGCUGAACUUAA
rnacentral:rRNA from 1 species